UACGGAGGGUGCGAGUGUUGUCCGGAAUCACUGGGCGUAAAGGGCGCGUAGGCGGCCUGGUAAGUAGGGGGUGAAAUCCUGCGGCUUAACCGCAGGGCUGCCUUCUAAACUGUCAGGCUCGAGCACAGUAGAGGCAGGUGGAAUUCCCGGUGUAGCGGUGGAAUGCGUAGAGAUCGGGAAGAACAUCAGUGGCGAAGGCGGCCUGCUGGGCUGUUGCUGACGCUGAGGCGCGACAGCGUGGGGAGCAAACAGG
rnacentral:rRNA from 1 species